rnacentral:rRNA from 1 species
UACGAAGGGGGCUAGCGUUGCUCGGAAUUACUGGGCGUAAAGCGCACGUAGGCGGCUCUUUAAGUCGGGGGUGAAAUCCUGGAGCUCAACUCCAGAACUGCCUUCGAUACUGAAGAGCUCGAGUCCGGGAGAGGUGAGUGGAACUGCGAGUGUAGAGGUGAAAUUCGUAGAUAUUCGCAAGAACACCAGUGGCGAAGGCGGCUCACUGGCCCGAUACUGACGCUGAGGCACGAAAGCGUGGGGAGCAAACAGG